UCGUGUGUAGACUCCGUGGCGCAACGGUAGCGCGUCUGACUCCAGAUCAGAAGGUUGGGGGUUCAAAUCCCUCCGGGGUCAAUCA
rnacentral:tRNA from 1 species